rnacentral:rRNA from 1 species
GAUGAACGCUAGCGGCAGGCCUAAUACAUGCAAGUCGAACGGGUCGCAAGACCAGUGGCAAACGGGUGCGUAACGCGUAGGCAACCUGCCUCAUACUGGGGGAUAGCCCGGCGAAAGCUGGGGUAAACCCGCACGGUCCCAAAGAGUCACCUGGUUUUUUGGGUAAACAUUUAUGGGUAUGAGAGGGGCUUGCGUCUGAUUAGUUAGUUGGCAGGGUAACGGCCUACCAAGACGAUGAUCAGAGGGGUUCUGAGAGGAUUGGCCCCCACAUGGGUACUGAGAUACGGACCCAACUCCUACGGGAGGCAGCAGUAGGGAAUAUUGGGCAAUGGAGGCAACUCUGACCCAGCCAUGCCGCGUGCAGGAUGAAGGCGCUCAGCGUUU